AUUGAACGCUGGCGGCAUGCCUUACACAUGCAAGUCGAACGGCAGCACGGGAGCAAUCCUGGUGGCGAGUGGCGAACGGGUGAGUAAUAUAUCGGAACGUGCCCAGUCGUGGGGGAUAACGCAGCGAAAGCUGUGCUAAUACCGCAUACGAUCUACGGAUGAAAGCGGGGGAUCGCAAGACCUUGCGCGAUUGGAGCGGCCGAUAUCAGAUUAGCUAGUUGGUGGGGUAAAGGCCCACCAAGGCGACGAUCUGCAGCUGGUCUGAGAGGACGACCAGCCACACUGGAACUGAGACACGGUCCAGACUCCUACGGGAGGCAGCAGUGGGGAAUUUUGGACAAUGGGCGCAAGCCUGAUCCAGCAAUGCCGCGUGCAGGAUGAAGGCCUUCGGGUUGUAAACUGCUUUUGUACGGAACGAAACGGCCCUUUCUAAUACAGGGGGCUAAUGACGGUACCGUAAGAAUAAGCACCGGCUAACUACGUGCCAGCCGCCGCGGUAACAC
rnacentral:rRNA from 1 species